UACGAAGGUCCCAAGCGUUGUUCGGAAUCACUGGGCGUAAAGCGUGUGUAGGCUGCGUGGAAAGUCGGAUGUGAAAGCCAAGGGCUCAACCCUUGAACUGCAUUCGAUACUUCCAUGCUAGAGUAAUGGAGAGGUAACUGGAAUUCUCGGUGUAGCAGUGAAAUGCGUGGAUAUCGAGAGGAACACCAAAGGCGAAAGCAGGUUACUGGACAUUUACUGACGCUCAGACACGAAGGCUAGGGGAGCGAAA
rnacentral:rRNA from 1 species